AUAAAUGUUGCAAGGCUUUCUUGACCCUUUGGACCUAAUCAGAAUUGCAUUACCAAAAACAGUUGUGAUGAUGCUAAUAUAAAUCAUUAUUUUUGAAGUUAAAUGUAUAAAAUUAUUACUAGCAAUAUCCCUAGGAGUGCGUUAGCAUUACAGCAGCUUUUUGUCUGGAAAUCAACAGAAAAUAUGCUCAUUUGCACCGGUUUGCUGGCUACAAAGAAAACAGUCAAGUUAUGUCAUUUGUUUUACGCAAAUGUGUCAUGGGGUUUAAGUUUAUUCUCAAAUAAUUUCAUUAUUUCCGGUUUAUAUUUAGGUUGGUAACUUGUUUCCCCAGAUUGUAGAGCAUUAUGAUUUACCUACUAGAUAUGGAUCACUGUAAUAUGGCACCAAUUAAAUU